rnacentral:rRNA from 1 species
UGCAGUCGAGCGGACAGAAGGGAGCUUGCUCCCGGAUGUUAGCGGCGGACGGGUGAGUAACACGUGGGUAACCUGCCUGUAAGACUGGGAUAACUCCGGGAAACCGGAGCUAAUACCGGAUAGUUCCUUGAACCGCAUGGUUCAAGGAUGAAAGACGGUUUCGGCUGUCACUUACAGAUGGACCCGCGGCGCAUUAGCUAGUUGGUGAGGUAACGGCUCACCAAGGCGACGAUGCGUAGCCGACCUGAGAGGGUGAUCGGCCACACUGGGACUGAGACACGGCCCAGACUCCUACGGGAGGCAGCAGUAGGGAAUCUUCCGCAAUGGACGAAAGUCUGACGGAGCAACGCCGCGUGAGUGAUGAAGGUUUUCGGAUCGUAAAGCUCUGUUGUUAGGGAAGAACAAGUGCAAGAGUAACUGCUUGCACCUUGACGGUACCUAACCAGAAAGCCACGGCUAACUACGUGCCAGCAGCCGCGGUAAUACGUAGGUGGCAAGCGUUGUCCGGAAUUAUUGGGCGUAAAGGGCUCGCAGGCGGUUUCUUAAGUCUGAUGUGAAAGCCCCCGGCUCAACCGGGGAGGGUCAUUGGAAACUGGGAAACUUGAGUGCAGAAGAGGAGAGUGGAAUUCCACGUGUAGCGGUGAAAUGCGUAGAGAUGUGGAGGAACACCAGUGGCGAAGGCGACUCUCUGGUCUGUAACUGACGCUGAGGAGCGAAAGCGUGGGGAGCGAACAGGAUUAGAUACCCUGGUAGUCCACGCCGUAAACGAUGAGUGCUAAGUGUUAGGGGGUUUCCGCCCCUUAGUGCUGCAGCUAACGCAUUAAGCACUCCGCCUGGGGAGUACGGUCGCAA